ACGGAAGGCAGCAGUAGGGAAUAUUGGUCAAUGGGGGAAACCCUGAACCAGCGACGCCGCGUGAGUGAAGAAGUAUUUCGGUAUGUAAAGCUCUAUCAGCAGGGACGAUAAUGACGGUACCUGACUAAGAAGCCCCGGCUAACUACGUGCCAGCAGCCGCGGUAAUACGUAGGGGGCAAGCGUUAUCCGGAUUUACUGGGUGUAAAGGGAGCGUAGGUGGCCAUGCAAGUCAGAUGUGAAAACCCGGGGCUCAACCCCGUGACUGCAUUUGAAACUGCGUGGCUGGAGUACAGGAGAGGUAAGCGGAAUUCCUAGUGGAGCGGUGAAAUGCGUAGAUAUUAGGAGGAACACCAGUGGCGAAAGCGGCUUACUGGACUGAAACUGACACUGAGGCUCGAAAGCGUGGGGAGCAAACAGGAUUAGAUACCCUGGUA
rnacentral:rRNA from 1 species